rnacentral:rRNA from 1 species
AGCGGCGGACGGGUGAGUAACACGUGGGUAACCUGCCCAAGAGACUGGGAUAACACCUGGAAACAGAUGCUAAUACCGGAUAACAACACUAGACGCAUGUCUAGAGUUUGAAAGAUGGUUCUGCUAUCACUCUUGGAUGGACCUGCGGUGCAUUAGCUAGUUGGUAAGGUAACGGCUUACCAAGGCAAUGAUGCAUAGCCGAGUUGAGAGACUGAUCGGCCACAUUGGGACUGAGACACGGCCCAAACUCCUACGGGAGGCAGCAGUAGGGAAUCUUCCACAAUGGACGAAAGUCUGAUGGAGCAACGCCGCGUGAGUGAAGAAGGGUUUCGGCUCGUAAAGCUCUGUUGGUAGUGAAGAAAGAUAGAGGUAGUAACUGGCCUUUAUUUGACGGUAAUUACUUAGAAAGUCACGGCUAACUACGUGCCAGCAGCCGCGGUAAUACGUAGGUGGCAAGCGUUGUCCGGAUUUAUUGGGCGUAAAGCGAGUGCAGGCGGUUCAAUAAGUCUGAUGUGAAAGCCUUCGGCUCAACCGGAGAAUUGCAUCAGAAACUGUUGAACCUGAGUGCAGAAGAGGAGAGUGGAACUCCAUGUGUAGCGGUGGAAUGCGUAGAUAUAUGGAAGAACACCAGUGGCGAAGGCGGCUCUCUGGUCUGCAACUGACGCUGAGGCUCGAAAGCAUGGGUAGCGAACAGGAUUAGAUACCCUGGUAGUCCAUGCCGUAACGAUGAGUGCUAAGUGU